rnacentral:rRNA from 1 species
AACGAACGCUGGCGGCAUGCCUAACACAUGCAAGUCGAACGAGACCUUCGGGUCUAGUGGCGCACGGGUGCGUAACGCGUGGGAACCUGCCCUUAGGUUCGGAAUAACUCCCCGAAAGGGGUGCUAAUACCGGAUAAUGUCUUCGGACCAAAGAUUUAUCGCCUUUGGAUGGGCCCGCGUUGGAUUAGCUAGUUGGUAGGGUAAAAGCCUACCAAGGCGACGAUCCAUAGCUGGUCUGGGAGGAUGAUAAGCCACACUGGGCCUGAGACACGGCCCAGACUCCGAGGGGGGGCAGCAUGGGGGAAUAUGGAAACACGGGCGAAAGCCGGAGCCAGCAAAGCCGGAAGAGUGAGGAAGGCCUGAGGGUUGAAAAACACUUUUCCCGGGAAUGAAAAUGGCAGACGCGGGGAAAAAGGUUCCGGAUAACUCCGA